rnacentral:lncRNA from 1 species
AUAGAAUGCUUGAAAGAUUUUUGUGCCUUCUCUAAGAAAAUAGCAUGGUAGUAAAUGUAUGCCCCUUUAAAACAUGUGUUGGUUGCUUUUAGCUACAAAGUAGCAGAUGUCUCAUUUAAACAUAAGAACAUAAGAAUUGUAAAGAUAAAAGAUAAAAAAAAUGUGUUUAAUAAAAUAAAAUGCUAAAGCAUCCUUCUAAUGCAAUUGCUUUAUACAUCCAAUCUUAAUCUCAAUUUGAAAAAAAUUGUAAUAUUUUAAAU